rnacentral:lncRNA from 1 species
CUGAGAUCCCACGGCAGCCAUAGCGACCACCUGGGCCUAAGACAAGGGCAUGGACCAGGCAGGGCCACUCCACCCAGGAUCUCCCUAAGUCGCUGUUGCCCAGGCUGGGCUCGAACUUGCCAUGCCCUGCCUUAGCCUCCUGGAGUGUUGAGAUGACAGGGGUGUGCCUGGCUGAAACCUCUUUCUUCCGUCCCUGCGGCCCCUUCCUGCCCGCUGCAGCUGGAGCUAACCCCUCUGGGUUCUCGCAGCGACCUGGCCCAGACUCAGCCGGUGGGUAGGGUGGUGGUUAGUUCAGGGGCUGGGACCCGGAGAUGAGCCCCCUCCUGGGUGGGGGUGGCACUGCCUGCCACUCCUGUGCUGAAGGACGCAGCAUCUAACAGGGGACCCGGCUUGAGCUCCCCUAUGUGCUGUGUGUACCAGCGCCCGCCUCCACCUCCGCAGAGCCGUGCUUCAUGGGGCCACUCGAGAGCCUAGUGCCCUGAAGUUCAGAGAGCAUCUCACCUUGGCCCUGGGCAGGUCCCAGGGGCCAGCGCCCACUUCCCAUCUCCACUACUCG